GAUCCUGGCUCAGGACGAAUGCUGGCGGCGUGCCUAACACAUGCGAGUCGAACGGACUUUAUUGAGCGGCGGGCUUCGGCCCAAAGCUGAAUAAAGUUAGUGGCGAACGGGUGAGUAACACGUGAGCAACCUGCCUUUAAGUGGGGAAUAACAUUCCGAAAGGGAUGCUAAUACCGAAUGAUGUAUCAUGGACGCAUGGCCAAGAUACCAAAGAUUUAUCGCUUAGAGAUGGGCUCGCGGCCGAUUACGUAAUUGGUGAGGUAAUGGCUCACCAAGCCGACGAUCGGUAGCCGGACUGAGAGGGUGAACGGCCACAUUGGGACUGAGACACGGCCCAGACUCCUACGGGAGGCAGCAGUGGGGAAUAUUGCACAAUGGGCGAAAGCCUGAUGCAGCGACGCCGCGUGAGGGAAGACGGCCUUCGGGUUGUAAACCUCUGUCUUCGGUGACGAAAAUGACGGUAGCCGAGGAGGAAGCCACGGCUAACUACGUGCCAGCAGCCGCGGUAAUACGUAGGUGGCGAGCGUUGUCCGGAAUUACUGGGUGUAAAGGGAGCGUAGGCGGGAGCGCAAGUUUACUGUUUAAUCUAUCGGCUCAACCGGUAUCAGCGGUAAAAACUGCGUUUCUUGAGUGAAGUAGAGGUAGGCGGAAUUCCUAGUGUAGCGGUGAAAUGCGUAGAGAUUAAGAGGAACACCAGUGGCGAAGGCGGCCUACUGGGCUUUAACUGACGCUGAGGCUCGAAAGCGUGGGGAGCAAACAGGAUUAGAUACCCUGGUAGUCCACGCCGUAAACGAUGAUUACUAGGUGUGUGGGGACUGACCCCUUCCGUGCCGGAGCUAACGCAAUAAGUAAUCCACCUGGGGAGUACGGUCGCAAGACUGAAACUCAAAGGAAUUGACGGGGGCCCGCACAAGCAGUGGAUUAUGUGGUUUAAUUCGAAGCAACGCGAAGAACCUUACCAGGUCUUGACAUCGUGCGCAUAGCCUAGAGAUAGGUGAAGCCCUUCGGGGCGCAUAGACAGGUGGUGCAUGGUUGUCGUCAGCUCGUGUCGUGAGAUGUUGGGUUAAGUCCCGCAACGAGCGCAACCCUUAUUGUUAGUUGCUACGCAAGAGCACUCUAACGAGACUGCCGUUGACAAAACGGAGGAAGGUGGGGAUGACGUCAAAUCAUCAUGCCCCUUAUGACCUGGGCUACACACGUAAUACAAUGGCGAUGAACAGAGGGCAGCCACACCGCGAGGUGGAGCGAAUCCCUAAAAAUCGUCUCAGUUCGGAUUGCAGGCUGCAACUCGCCUGCAUGAAGUCGGAAUUGCUAGUAAUCGCGGAUCAGCAUGCCGCGGUGAAUACGUUCCCGGGCCUUGCACACAACGCCCGUCA
rnacentral:rRNA from 1 species